UGGUCUUUUAUCUACUCCAAAAUUCUUGGCUAAGUUCCCAAAGAUUUUUCGUAUGAUCUUUUGCUUAUUCUCCAAACCAUAAUCGAUGAAUCCAAUUCACUCGACCACGUAUCUUGAUGCUUGUGUAGAAAAUACUACUUCCUGAACUCAUGAAAUCUGUCCAACUCGAACUCAACUCUCUGAAGUAACUCUUGACUCUCGACCAACAACUCAUAGCGUUCAUC
rnacentral:lncRNA from 1 species